AACUUAGAACUCUGGUCACCAGCCACAACUGCCAUCCCAGGCACUUGGCUGGAGACAGCGAGCAGCCAACAUGCUCUGCUGCUUUCCCAGGCCUCGAGGCCCCAGCCUCAGGACCCCGCAUGGAAAAGCCACUUGGGAACGAGGGAGAGGAUGGUUCACUCGGCCCAGAUUCUUCAGCACCCACACCAGGAACUGCCCAACUGUCAUGGGCAGCACAGGGCAGGGCUCAGCAGCUCCGGCCCCCAGGCGCCCAGAGACAAGAGGGAGUGCAGGACAGGUGUCCCUAGGCUCUGCCACCAGCCACUCGGAGCCACUGAGUCUGGGACAGGCCCAUUUAGGCCUGGCCACCACUACGGGAAAUCGGUCGACCAAGAGCCUGACAGAGGUCUAUAUAGAGAGCUCGGUGCAGGCAGGGCCACUCCGCAUCCUGAUGGAGCCCCUGGAGCCAGCCUUCCUGGACAGUGGCCCCAGCCCUGGCCCCUCCUUCCUGCACUCCUCAAGGGCUGACAAGUCCACCCCACAGGCCCUGCUGGUGGGAAGCUCCACCUCUCCUGUCCAUGACUCUGCACUGGAGCUGCAGUCCUGGGUGGAUCUCCAGGCUGAGCUUCUCCUGGAGCCCCCAGAGCCCCUUGAGGCAGAGCCCCCGGCAUCAGCUCCAGCCCACGCUGAAUUCCCAGCUGCAGAGCUGGUGCCAGCUCCACCUGCCGCUCCCUCACCAGCUCAGGCUCUAGAGCCAGCGCCGGCACCUGGAUCCUCUUGGUUGCCAGCCGCAGAGCCAGAACUCCUCUUGGCUCCACCACAGGGCUCACCUUUUGAGCUCUACCUGGAGGCAGCUCUUGACCCAAACCUCCCAUUCCCUUCUCUGCCAGAUUUACUUGUUAUUGUACUUAUUGCUUUCCUUAAUUCCCAGAGAUGUGGAAAUGGUAGAAUUAAUGUAAAUAAAGUUAAAGAUUUUAGUGCUGUUUAAAAUGAUCAGCUUGGUAGCAUUUAAUGCUUUCUCAGUGUUGUGCAAUCUUCA
rnacentral:lncRNA from 1 species